rnacentral:lncRNA from 1 species
AUCCCUCUAGUGAUAUGUGGAAGAUGUUUUAAUUGUUCUUUCUAGAAGAGAUAGCGAUAUUCUCUUGAAUAGUUUUCAACCCUAAAACUUAACUAUCAUAGACACACCCACUGCCGCGAUCAUCUUUUCAAUCAUCCAUCGCCGUCAUCACCAACUAGCGCAACCCAUCCUUCGUAGCCUCCUAUCUCCAAUCACCAUCUAUUGCCAUCAUCCCCUUCAAUCACCAUAUACCAUCACCAUCCACCAUCAUCCACUGCCGCCAUUAACCAUCAAUCAUCACGCAUCAUCGCUACCAUCACCAUGCAUCAUCCGUCAUUGCAAUCGAACCUUCCUCCUCCACACCAACCGGGCGGGAUCAAACGCCGCCACUACGCGGAUCAGGGGCUCGGCAGCCAGAAUCUCCGGCGGUUCAAUCGUCAAUCGACACCACUUCACUGUCCGGCGUUCCCGUGGCGGUUUCACCGAAAAUCUUGAUUCCGCCAGUGUCUGCACUAUCCCUGGCGGAUAUUAUGGAGAACCCCCGACAUGGGGUUUCGAAUUUUGCAUUUUCGGUUCCUUUCUCAUGGAUCUAAUGGACACAUAGGUCACUACAGGCAAGAAAGCUCAGAAGUCGCCACAAAAGCCAAAUCCGGGACAAUGGACAAAGCCCAUCCAGAAGAGUAGGAGAGCAGAGUCGGAAUCACAUACGGUCUAGUCCAUAGUGAAUCCGAAUAAGGAUCAAAAUUUUCAUCCAAUAGCUAGGCUUCCAGAUCAUUUUUUCACUUUCAUCUUCUUACUUUUGAAUAUGUUUCCCUUUGCCAUUGUUCGUUGCCGGUGAGAAAGGAAUGAGGUUACCGUAGUUACAAAGACCAGCGUUCCAUACAGCUAUACUUGUAGAGUCGGUGGGCACUUUGUAUGCUCGCUUACGGUCGUCUAGGAGGAAUAAAAUUUGGGAAUUUCAUUUCAAAAAAG